rnacentral:miRNA from 1 species
AUACUAAGUACACUAUGUUUA